rnacentral:rRNA from 1 species
AAUUGCCUACGGGAGGCAGCAGUGGGGGAUAUUGCACAAUGGGGGAAACCCUGAUGCAGCGACGCCGCGUGGGUGAAGAAGCGCCUUGGCGCGUAAAGCCCUGUCAGCAGGGAAGAAAAUGACGGUACCUGAAGAAGAAGCCCCGGCUAACUACGUGCCAGCAGCCGCGGAAAUACGUAGGGGGCAAGCGUUAUCCGGAUUUACUGGGUGUAAAGGGGGCGCAGACGGCGAUGCAAGCCAGGAGUGAAAGCCCGGGGCCCAACCCCGGGACUGCUCUUGGAACUGUGUGGCUAGAGGGCAGGAGG